UGUGGCGUGAACACAGCUUCCUGGAUUCCCACUCAGCGAGGCGAAGGACAGCACUCCAACUCCCUGCCAAGACACCUUAUCUGUGCCUGGCAGCCUGCAGACAGGAUGAAGGGGUGAGGUGACUACAGGGGGAGAUGGUGAGAACAGUGGGCCCUAGCCUUUCCCAGCCACAGCCCAGAAGAUUGCUGUGGAGCAAGGAGCCCACCUCUUGCCUCAGCCCCCGGCCCCCCGGCCCCCCGGCCCCCAGUGAUGUGGGAAAAGCCUGGGAGGGUGUCCCACUGAGCGCGCUCAGGCAGUUGUCCCAGGCUCCAAACCUAUCACUGCAGGCCUCUCAGUGGCAGCACCAGUCAGGCCGAGCUUGUUAAAGGCAGCUUUCUUCAUGAGUGUUUUCUUUGCCAUGUUGUUUCACCUUGCCUCAGACCAAACAGAAAGUGCCACACAAGUUGCAGUCGGAGUCACUGAGGUUUAGUUGCGCCAGUGAGUCGUGACUUCUUGUUACCACUUUAAAAGAUUUGUGUAAACAUCUGUUUGGCUUCCCUGAAACAGUCACGAGAAGGUUAUUGAUUGACACAGUUUUAAGAGUUGUUUUCCAAUCUUAACUCUGUUUUUUUCUCUUCUUGUUUUUUUUUUUUUUUUUUUUUUACUGCUUUUGCAUCAAGCAACUGUUAAAAUCAUUACUGCAAUAAAGUUGAAGUGUGAUGA